rnacentral:rRNA from 1 species
GAUGAACGCUGGCGGCGUGCCUAAUACAUGCAAGUCGAGCGAACGGACGAGAAGCUUGCUUCUCUGAUGUUAGCGGCGGACGGGUGAGUAACACGUGGAUAACCUACCUAUAAGACUGGGAUAACUUCGGGAAACCGGAGCUAAUACCGGAUGAUAUUUUGAACCGCAUGGUUCAAAAGUGAAAGACGGUCUUGCUGUCACUUAUAGAUGGAUCCGCGCUGCAUUAGCUAGUUGGUAAGGUAACGGCUUACCAAGGCAACGAUGCAUAGCCGACCUGAGAGGGUGAUCGGCCACACUGGAACGUAGACACCGUCCAGACUCCUACGGGAGGCAGCAGUAGGGAAUCUUACGCAAUGGGCGAAAGCCUGACGGAGCAACGCCGCGUGAGUGAUGAAGGUCUUCGGAUCGUAAAACUCUGUUAUUAGGGAAGAACAGAUGUGUAAGUAACUGUGCACAUCUUGACGGUACCUAAUCAGAAAGCCACGGCUAACUACGUG